ACCUCCACGACUUAGAUUAUAGAUUCCUAUACGACUCUCAGUAAAAAUUUAUCCGCACUCCAGAUAGUUAAAACUUCUGUCGACCGUAUUGAUCCAUCUGCACUCUUCGUAUGACGUCAAUAUCUGUUCAGUGCUGCUGCGCAGGUUUCUUUGUGUUACGUCAAUUCGUUUGUGACCGUUGCGCGAGUAAUGGCGCUUUGCAAUGGUGAUUUGCAGGAAAACAGUGCAGGAUGCUGUGAUUCGUUUCUUGUGGUCGGAGGUUAUGUUUGAUGCCUAUAUUUAUCAAAGAUUUAAUGCACAUUAUGGAGAAAGUGUUUUGUCACGAAGUGUGUUUGAAUGGGCACAAAAGUUCAAAGAAGAUCGCACAAGUGUUAUGAAAAAACAGCUGGACGCCCGUCCACAUCCCCGAUGACAACAUUGAACGUGCUCAUGAACUUAUGCUCUAUGGAAUAGACGAGUGACAGUGGAUAAUGUGGCAAAUCAUUUGCAAAUCAGCCACGGCUCUGCUUAUGCAAUAGUACACGACAGAUUUGGAUUUUAAAAAGUUUGUGCGAGAUGGAUGCCGAAAAAGCUGAUGAAAAGGUGAAGACGACGAUGCAUUCGUGGUUCGCAGCUCAGCCCAAAACAUUUUUUAAUGAGAAAAUACAAAGGUCCUUCGGCAAAUGGACAAAGUGUAUACAGAAAUCGAGUGAUUAUGUCAAAAAAUGAUGUAUGUCUUUUUUGACAAUUGCUUAAAAUAAAUUCUACACCGACAGAGCUGGUAACUUUUUACUCACCCUCGCUGUUAAUCUAGAGGCUGGAGUACAAAGAAGUGGCACAAUGAUGUGGGCUGAUGACAUUUAUAAUUAUCAAGGAAUCACCCCUACAUUCGCUCAGAAUUUUAAUGAAACUGUCCCUUGGGAAGGAAGAACUGAUACCUUGAUAUCACGGUUUGUACAUCCUAUAUAUACGACAAAUUUUAGAACAUUAUAUAACGAAGAACCAGAUCGUCGUGGCCAUGUGAUGUGAAUAAAAGGACUUGAAUUUGAUGAUAUUUUUAUAAUGUUAGAUAACAUAACUAAGUAUCUUCACAGUAAGAUAGGAUGACAUGGUUUACAUGAUCUUAAUGUUGUUCACUUGAGUGAUGAUAUUAUAAGGAAAAGUGUAAUAUCACAGGAUAUUUAUGUUUAGUAACCAGUAAUUCAGAGAUUGGUAUUCAUGGUUACUAUAACGAGGCUGUAGAAACGCACCCUUUCUUCUUUGCAAAUGGUCCUGUAUUUAUGUCUAAGCCGAAACUGGAACCUCUGAAUAAUUUAGAUUUAUUCUUGUUAUUUUCUAAAAUACUUAUCUACAGUAUACCAUAAGGAAUGAUACCGUAUCGCACCUAAUCAAGUGCCUUAAGAAACAUCAACAGGAUAUCACAGUAAUCCCUUAUCGACUGAUAUUUGUAGCCACUACAAUAUCUAUGACACUGGUAGUAAUUAUAAGAACAAUAAUGAUGUUCUAUAAGAGGAAAUGAUGAUUAGGAACAAAAACUUACAGGAGAUAUCAUGCGGUGGAUGGAUAAUAUGUAAAAAAUAUUAU